rnacentral:rRNA from 1 species
AACGAACGCUGGCGGCAUGCCUAACACAUGCAAGUCGAACGAGAUCUUCGGGUCUAGUGGCGCACGGGUGCGUAACGCGUGGGAAUCUGCCCUUUGGUUCGGAAUAACAGUUGGAAACGACUGCUAAUACCGGAUGAUGACGGAAGUCCAAAGAUUUAUCGCCAGAGGAUGAGCCCGCGUAGGAUUAGCUAGUUGGUGUGGUAAAGGCGCACCAAGGCGACGAUCCUUAGCUGGUCUGUGAGGAUGAUCAGCCACACUGGGACUGAGACACGGCCCAGACUCCUACGGGAGGCAGCAGUGGGGAAUAUUGGACAAUGGGCGAAAGCCUGAUCCAGCAAUGCCGCGUGAGUGAUGAAGGCCUUAGGGUUGUAAAGCUCUUUUACCCGGGAUGAUAAUGACAGUACCGGGAGAAUAAGCUCCGGCUAACUCCGUGCCAGCCGCCGCCGUAAAAC